UACGAAGGGGGCUAGCGUUGUUCGGAAUUACUGGGCGUAAAGCGCACGUAGGCGGACUUGUCAGUCAGAGGUGAAAUCCCGAAGCUUAACUUCGGAACUGCCUUUGAUACUGCAAGUCUUGAGGAUGAGAGAGGUAAGUGGAACUGCGAGUGUAGAGGUGAAAUUCGUAGAUAUUCGCAAGAACACCAGUGGCGAAGGCGGCUUACUGGCUCAUUUCUGACGCUGAGGUGCGAAAGCGUGGGGAGCAAACAGG
rnacentral:rRNA from 1 species